rnacentral:lncRNA from 1 species
ACACUCUCUCUCUCUCUCUCUCUCUCUCUCUCUCUCUCUCUCUCUCUCUCUCUCUCUCUCUCUCUCUCUCUCUCUCUCUCUCUUGUAGCAUACAACCUAUUUCAUUCAUUUUCAAACGAUGUUUACAAAACUAGGUUAAAUAGUAAUCCAAAAAUAUUACUGGAUCAAGAGUCAUUGAUUCAACCAAUGUCAACCACUGGUUAAACUAGUGACAUCAGUACGUCAUCAUAAUUAUUUAAUAUUAUUUUUAAUUUUAUUAUAUAGAGAAAUAUAUU